AUUGAACGCUGACGGCAUGCCUUACACAUGCAAGUCGAACGGUAACAGGUCUUCGGAUGCUGACGAGUGGCGAACGGGUGAGUAAUACAUCGGAACGUGCCUAGUAGUGGGGGAUAACUACUCGAAAGAGUGGCUAAUACCGCAUGAGAUCUACGGAUGAAAGCAGGGGAUGGCAAGACCGUGUGGUAAUAGAGCGGCCGAUGGCAGAUUAGGUAGUUGGUGGGAUAAAAGCUUACCAAGCCGACGAUCUGUAGCUGGUCUGAGAGGACGAUCAGCCACACUGGGACUGAGACACGGCCCAGACUCCUACGGGAGGCAGCAGUGGGGAAUUUUGGACAAUGGGCGCAAGCCUGAUCCAGCAAUGCCGCGUGCAGGAUGAAGGCCUUCGGGUUGUAAACUGCUUUUGUACGGAACGAAAAGCCCUGGGUUAAUACCCUGGGGUCAUGACGGUACCGUAAGAAUAAGCACCGGCUAACUACGUGCCAGCCGCCGCCGUAAUAC
rnacentral:rRNA from 1 species